GAAAUGCGAUAAGUAGUGUGAAUUGCAGAAUUCAGUGAAUCAUCGAAUCUUUGAACGCACAUUGCGCCCCUUGGUAUUCCAUGGGGCAUGCCUGUUCGAGCGUCAUUUGUACCCUCAAGCUAUGCUUGGUGUUGGGUGUUUGUCCUCUCCCUGCGAUUGGACUCGCCUUAAAGAUAUUGGCAGCUGAUAUGUAUUGGUUCAAGCGCAGCACAAUUUGCGAUUUUACCCUUGUAUUUUAGCAUCCAUAAAGUAUAUUUUCACUUUUGACCUCGGAUCAGGUAGGGAUACCCGCUGAACUUAA
rnacentral:misc_RNA from 1 species